rnacentral:rRNA from 1 species
CCUACGGGGGGCAGCAGUCGGGAAAAUUUUGCAAUGCGCGAAAGCGUGACAGAGCAAGCCAGAGUGCUUUUCCAUAUUGGAAAAGCUUUUGUGAGAUGUAGAAAGUCUCACGAAUAAGGACUGGGCAAGACUGGUGCCAGCCGCCGCGGUAAUCCCAGCAGUCCAAGUCGCAGCCACAAUUAUUGGGUCUAAAACAUCCGUAGCUUGCCUUUCAAGUCUCUUGUCAAAUCGGGCCUCUUAAGGGUCCGGCGAGCAAGAGAUACUGUUUGGCUAGAGACCGGGAGGCGUGAAAAGUACGCAUAGGGUAGCGGUAAAAUGUGUUGAUCCUACGCGGACUAACAGUCGCGAAGGCGUUUCACGAGAACGGAUCUGACAGUGAGGGAUGAAGGCUAGGGGCGCAAAGUGGAUUAGAUACCCCGGUAGUC